UACGUAGGGUGCAAGCGUUGUCCGGAAUUAUUGGGCGUAAAGAGCUCGUAGGCGGUCUGUCGCGUCGGCUGUGAAACCCCGGGGCUCAACCCCGGGCCUGCAGCCGAUACGGGCAGACUAGAGUUCGGUAGGGGAGACUGGAAUUCCUGGUGUAGCGGUGAAAUGCGCAGAUAUCAGGAGGAACACCGGUGGCGAAGGCGGGUCUCUGGGCCGAUACUGACGCUGAGGCACGAAGGCCAGGGGAGCAAACGGG
rnacentral:rRNA from 1 species